GCUUCCAGCUUGUUUAGAUAAAUGGCGGGUUUUUUAAAACCCUGUCUUAUCAUCUGUUUUCGCAAUUCUCUAUAAAAACAAACAAGAUAACACAUUCUUAAAUAAAAAAAACCUACCGCAAAAAAAUAAAAUAAACAAGUAAUGUAUAUAUAUAUAUAGAUCUAUACAAAAUUUACCAUCUGUCGAAAUAAAACGAAAUUCAGCUGAAGCAAGUUUGAAUGACAUAAUUUGAGGGGACAAUCGGAUCACCAAAGCUAUGUAUUCCAAAACCGUGAAGAGCAAACCGUCUGCCGGCGUCCUCUUGAGUCACUGUCACAAAAAGCCGGCGUUGGUCCUAGCCGGCGAUCUCAUCAAGGUGCUGCAGAGACUAGAAAUAAAUGCCGAGAGUAUUCUCAAGAUUACCGUGCCGGAUUUCGAAGGUAUGGCGGAGCUCGUCUUCAGCACCGAAGAUGCCGAGGAUUUCGCCGUGGGGGUUUUCAAAGAUGUCCAGAAGCUCGCUAGUGUUACUGAGAUCAAUGACUUGAUAGACAACCCCAACAAUUUGAUGGUAGAGAAGAUUACGUCAGACUGCUACUUCAAGACUGUCAAAAGGAUGGUUUACAUCUUUAAUGAAGAUGUACUGACGAAAUCUGAGCACAUCCCAGGGGGAGAUCAGUGUGAGGAACCUAAAGAUCAGUUUGAGGAACCUAACUGUCAAACUAGUUCACCAUCAUCAGAAUCUACAUAUCAAAAGCCUUCAAUUUUUGAAAAGAAACCUACACAUGAACCAAAACCUACAACUGAACACAAACCUACAACUGAACACAAACCUACAACUGAACCCAAACCUACAACUGAACCCAAACCUACAACUGAACACAAACCUACAACUGAACCCAAACCUACAACUGAACCCAAACCUACAACUGAACACAAACCUACAACUGAACACAAACCUACAACUGAACACAAACCUACAACUGAACACAAACCUACAACUGAACACGUACCUACAACUGAACACAGACCUACAACUGAACACAAACCUAUAACUGAACACAGACCUACAACUGAACACAAACCUAUAACUGAACAUAUACCUCCAACUGACGGGGAACGGUGGGAAUGUAGUUCCCCGUGUCAGACUGAUCAGGCAACGCCUAUAGAACCUGAACCCGGACUCUCCGCGCCUGACGAGGCUGAGCUCGAAGAGGCGGUCACUUUGGAUAAGAAGACCUCCACUAUAGCAACCAACCCGUGCAACUGCCCAGAAACUGUCACCUAUGUCCUUGGCGGUUAUGUCGGCUCUGAGACGAGGCACUGCGAGUUUAAACAGGGGGGAUUUAUCAACCACGCACCGAAACUGAAACAAAUUAUUGGUAAAUACGUGACUGGGUUCCUCAAUUCCGGCGGUGGCAUCCUUUUCCUGGGAGUCAACGAUGCAGGGCUAGUCACUGGCUUGGAGCUCACGCUAGAAGAAAUAAGUACAAUUAGAGAUAACAUUACAUCUACGAUUAAGGAAAUCCAGCCCGUUGUCAGCGAUGAGGAGUACUCCAUCAAUUUCGCCAACGUUUUAGGGCUACAAAGUUCAUUUCUUGUGAGGGUGGUGGAGGUGUGCGUCAAACCUCGGGACCCACCGGAGACAUUGUACUCGUUCAAUAAUCUGAUAUACAUCCGCAGGGACGCGAGUGUCAGGACUAUUAAGGACCCCUCGAUAUUGCUUUAGGUUGACGGGAGUAUCAGGACUACUAAGGACCCCGCAUCCCUCGAUAUUGCUUUAGGUUGACGGGAGUAUCAGGACUACUAAGGACCCCGCAUCCCUCGAUAUUGCUUUGGGUUGACGGGAGUAUCAGGACUACUAAGGACCCCGCAUCCCUCGAUAUUGCUUUAGGUUGACGGGAGUAUCAGGACUACUAAGGACCCCGCAUCCCUCGAUAUUGCUUUAGGUUGACGGGAGUAUCAGGACAACUAAGGACCCCGCAUCCCUCGAUAUUGCUUUAGGUUUCCAUAGCAAGCAUUAGAUCUCUUUUAUUAACAGCAGUGCUAAAGAUAAUUCUCAGCUUUAAAAAUAAAAUAA